rnacentral:lncRNA from 1 species
UCUACACAUAUUAAAAAGGACACCCAACCUACUCCCCACUCUGUCCUGUUUUUAAUGUGGGCCUUUGGCAUUCCUCUGUCUUUUGGCACAGUCAUGCAGCAGAAUUUUUCUACUGUAUUGGUCUAAUAUUUACAGCUGUAACCAAAACGUGUUCUUUUCUAUCUAGAUCUACUCCUAGAUCACCUGGGGUGUUCUCCUCCUGGUUAGGAGCCUCUCUCAUCCACUCCCUGGCUAUUACAUGGAGCUCAUGGAUUGCAACCUUCAAUACGAUCCCAGAAUAAUAUAAGAUCCACAAAGAAUCAUUUAUCUGAAAUGACGCGUCUGAUGCUCUUAUGCACUCACACACAGCUGACCUGGCCCCUCUAAUCCUGAAGGAACAGCUGAUCCAUCAAGCCUCCUGCAUCCAACAUGAGGUGAGGAGGAAUGCUGCACCUGUUUCCAUUCUGGUGUUUCUCAGGUAUGUCGAGCUGCUUUGUUCUUGUGUUCACCUCUCAUUUCCCUGGGAAGAAGAAAAAGAAGAAAAACUAGAUGUGAGGGCUUAAAUCACUGAAGAUGAGAAACAGCAAAAGGAAAUAAAGAGGUCACACAUCUAAGUUAGCUUAUGAUU